UUUGUUUUAUAAUUAAAAACUAGAAUGAAUGGAAUAACGUUUAAAUUUCUUUAUUUUUUCUAUAUAAUAAAAUUAUAUUAAAUAUAAAAAUAUAUUUAUAUAUCAAAUAGACGACAAGACCCUAUUGAACUUCACUUUAGUUAAGCUGGGGCAGCUAAAUAAUUAAAAUCUUAAUAUCUUAUAUUAUAAAAAUUAUCCUUUAUAAAUGAUUAUUUAAACAAGUUACCUUAGGGAUAACAGCGUAAUAUUAUUAUAAAGUUCUUAUUUAAUAUAAUGAUUGCGACCUCGAUGUUGAAUUAUUAUUUCUUUAUAACGCAAUAGUUAUACAUUAGUGGGUCUGUUCGACCCUUAAUAUUUUACAUGAUUUGAGUUCAAACCGGUGUAAACCAGGUUGGUUUCUAUCUUUUAUUUACAUUUUUCUAGUACGAAAGGACAAAAAAAUUUAUUAUUAAUAAUAUAUUAGCAAAUAAAUGCAUUAGAAUUAGAAUCUAAGCUUACUAAAUAUAAUAUUAUUAUUAAUAGAAUCAUUCCUAUAAUCUGUAUUUUUAUUAGAGUUGCAUUUUAUACAAUCUUAGAACGAAAAAUUUUAGGUUACAUCCAAAUUCGAAAAGGACCUAAUAAAGUAGGUUUAAUAGGUAUUCUACAACCAUUCAGAGAUGCUAUCAAAGUAUUUAAUAAAAAUUUAAUUUCUUCUGAGUUUAUAAAUUAUUCGCUUUUCCUAUACCAUACCAGCAAUAUCUAUCCUUUUAGCUAUACUAAUUGUAUCUUKUAUKSCRAUAUAGKRSUAUAUUCCAUUUGACAAUAAACAUAAY
rnacentral:rRNA from 1 species